GACGAACGCUGGCGGCGUGCUUAACACAUGCAAGUCGAACGGAGUGGCGAACGGGUGAGUAACACGUGGGUGACCUGCCCUGCACUUCGGGAUAAGCCUGGGAAACUGGGUCUAAUACCGGAUAGUGUGGGAUGGGCCCGCGGCCGAUAAGCUUGUUGGUGGGGUAAGGGCCUACCAAGGCGGCGACGGGUAGCCUGCCUGAGAGGGGGGACGUACACAUUGGGACGGAGACACGGCCCAGACUCCGACGGGAGGCAGCAGUGGGGAAUAGUGCACAAUGGUCGGAAGCCUGAUGCAGCGACGCCGCGUGGGGGAUGACGGCCUUCGGGUUGUAAACUCCUUUCACCAUCGACGCGGGAGAUGGAGAAGAAGCACCGGCUAACUACGUGCCAGCAGCCGCGGUAAUAC
rnacentral:rRNA from 1 species